UCGAAGUAUCUGCUGCGAUGC
rnacentral:misc_RNA from 1 species